GCAGCCUGAAUUGCAUAGCAAGACAGUGUCUCAAAAAAUAAAACAAGACUGUCAAGGACUUAGCUCAGUGGCACCGCGCCUGCCUCACAAGCCCAAGGUCCUGAGUUCAAUCCCUGGUACCAAAAACAAAACAAAACAAAACAAAACAACUUAAAUAAAGACAUUGGCAAGGGCAGACAGUAUUCAGGUGCAUCAUGAUCCGAAAACUGGUACAGCUGAUUUAAAAUGUUUCGUAAAGAAGGGAUAGUUUUCGUAAACUCCAGUGUUGAUUAUCCAGUGUCACCAGCGUUGCCAGCAGCCUGGUGACCCUGGAUGUUGGCCCCAGCCGCCCUGUGUUCUCCACGCUGGCUCAUGUUGUGUAACCAGCAUGCCUGGGUGUCACCUCCUCGCCUGCUCUUGAGGCCUCUGCCCUGUGCCCUGAACAUGCCAGGACCAGGGGCGACUGAGUCAUGCCCCAGAGGAUGCCGAGUUCUCAGCAGCCAGGUGGGGAGGACAUCCCUGGCGUCCAGCCUGCAACUGCUGAGCAGCGCAUGUCCUGCUGUCUGUCCUCCAUGGUACUGCUGUCAGCCAAGGACAUUGGCACCGCGAGUCCAGAGGCCGUGUGGGUGCUGCUAGUCCGACUCCUCCGUCCCAUGCUCCCAGAUGGGCCGGCGCAAGGUGCAGACAGCGUGGAGCCCUUCACCUGUGUAGAAUCCUGGACGGGCCAGGCAGGGAGCUUGGCUGAGAAGAUUUUCCCAAGCGAUCGCAGGAGGAAGACAAAGGAGACGGUCUGGAAAGCACAACGCUGGGCAUUUUUGUGUUAAUGUCCGGUUGAAGCUCAAUUCUGUCAGGAGCAGCCCAUAUGGACCCAACCGUGUAGACAGAAGCAGAGCAAUAGCUCAAAUGAGAUCAGCUGCCUGUGCUUCCUGCCGCCUGCACUUGCGCCUUCGUCAGGGACGCAGUGCCCAGUGAGGUCCUGAAAGCAUUGGGAUUAGAUCGAUGGCUUCCUCAGGUGUGUGUCACCGGAAGGUAGCACCUGUGCCCUCCUGCGGAAACGGAGGUGAAAAGAAGCCUGGCUGUGUCACCACGGGGGUGUGUCCGCCCUGAGCCACCUGUCCUCCCUUCUGAGUCUCCGCGGGGGUGGGGUGGACGACACCACAGAGACUUCUACUCCUCUCUGAGAUGACAGCAAACGGCCCACGUUCUUAGUGACCGGCAGAACCAAGACUGCCCUUCGUGGGCUCACAGACCUUCUGUCCUCAGUGGCCCGCCAGGGGCUGGCGUUCUCUCCCGUGAAGGCUUUGGCCGCGUCAUCGCCUCUGAGCAGGAGGAAGCCUGCGGAGAAGGGCUCGGUGCAUCACAGGGUAAAAGGCGCUUGUUCUCAUACAUGGUGUCCUUACCUGUGAUUCGGAAUUGCCAAGCCUCCAGAAAACUCUGUGCUGGAGAAGUUGGACGUAGUCUCGUCCUCUGAGGCCACACGCACAGUGUUUCUAAAAAGUCUGAUUUCAUGUGAAUGACCUUUCCCUUCCCUGCAAUCUGUCCCGGCCCCAAUGCAGCAUGUUGCCCCAGGCGCUGCAGAGGAUUUGAGGUGAUAACUGGCUACAGAGUGGACCUUUGCCUCCGCCUCGGGGGCUCCCGGCAGAGGCAGUGGACACUAGGGGACGUGGUACAGUUACCACCUCCAACACUCCAGAGGAGAGCGAGGUGAGGAGUGAGUGCCCGGCCCUCCGGGACUGACGGGCCCCGUGUCCACCAUACCACGCGGACGAUACUCUGUCUGCCACGCCUCGUGCCCCAAGUCUCCUGCCGUCCGACACGCUGCCACUCGAGGACGCCUUUGCGUGCACCAUUUCUAGAGCUCGUGACGCCCCGUGGGACCGGCCACGCCGUCCCACGUUGGGAGGAGGGGCCCAAGCCGGGACCUGG
ensembl:lincRNA